AAGCAGCCUGACAGAACAGCAUCUGACAUGGAAGCACAUAUGAAGCAAAGAUUGAGCCUGAGAUGUUUAAGAAGAGCUCACACCUGUGUUUCUGACAGUUCUUCUAAAGCAGUAUUCAAGAUUCAAGUUCUUACAAGGUUAUAUGGUAACCUCCCAGGUUUUCUAUCCUGACAGAAACUGGAGAAACCCGAAGCACAUGAAAGUAGUCAUCAACUAUAAUUGACAGCUGCAGCUCCAGCGAAUGUUAUAAAAGGUCACUACUGGAAAAGAGCCCAAUCCACCAACAGCACAGCAUUCACAGUUUGGAAAGAAGAUGCAAAGAUCUUUAUGUAAAGUCUAAGGCCUCUGCACAGAGUACAUCUGCUAAAGCCCUGGAAAGGCAUGAGGAAUGUUCAGCAAGUGGGUACACGGCCUUUUCCUGUUGGAGGCUAAUGCACAUCUCCUUGACAGGUAGAAUAACCAGAAAGGUUUGAAAAAUGAUGGAAUAGCCAAUGCAAAGUGAAAUGUGAAACCAAGGUUUCAAGAAGGACAAACUUUGAAAGAUCCA